AAUAAAGUGCCUGAUUAAAGGAUUAUUCUGAUAGGAUAAAUUACGUAAAUAAAAUUACCUUUAUUA
rnacentral:tRNA from 1 species